rnacentral:rRNA from 1 species
CCUACGGGGUGCAGCAGUGGGGAAUAUUGCGCAAUGGGGGAAACCCUGACGCAGCAACGCCGCGUGAGUGAAGAAGUAUCUCUGUAUUUAAAGCUCUUUCAGCGGGGAAGAAGGAAGCCGGUACUCUACUAAGAAGCCCCGGCCAACUACGUGCCAGCAGCCGCGGUAAUACGUAGGGGGCGAGCGUUAUCCGGAUUUACUGGGUUUAAAGGGAGCGUAGACGGCGUGGCAAGUCUGAAGUGAAAGCCCGUGGCUCAACCGCGGAACCGCUUUGGAAACUGCGAGGCUGGAGUGCUGGAGAGGUAAGCGGAAUUCGUGGUGUAGCGGUGAAAUGCGUAGAUAUCAGGAGGAACACCGGUGGCGAAGGCGGCUUACUGGACAGUGACUGACGUUGAGGCUCGAAAGCGUGGGGAGCGAACAGGAUUAGAUACCCGUGUAGUC